rnacentral:rRNA from 1 species
UACGUAGGGUGCGAGCGUUAAUCGGAAUUACUGGGCGUAAAGCGUGCGCAGGCGGUGAUGUAAGACAGUUGUGAAAUCCCCGGGCUCAACCUGGGAACUGCAUCUGUGACUGCAUCGCUGGAGUGCGGCAGAGGGGGAUGGAAUUCCGCGUGUAGCAGUGAAAUGCGUAGAUAUGCGGAGGAACACCGAUGGCGAAGGCAAUCCCCUGGGCCUGCACUGACGCUCAUGCACGAAAGCGUGGAGAGCAAACAGG